UACGGAGGGGGCUAGCGUUGUUCGGAAUUACUGGGCGUAAAGCGCGCGUAGGCGGCUUUGUAAGUUAGAGGUGAAAGCCCGGGGCUCAACUCCGGAACUGCCUUUAAGACUGCAUCGCUUGAAUCCAGGAGAGGUGAGUGGAAUUCCGAGUGUAGAGGUGAAAUUCGUAGAUAUUCGGAAGAACACCAGUGGCGAAGGCGGCUCACUGGACACAUAUUGACGCUGAGGUGCGAAAGCGUGGGGAGCAAACAGG
rnacentral:rRNA from 1 species